ACUCCUACGGGAGGCAGCAGUGGGAAUAUUGCACAAUGGGCGCAAGCCUGAUGCAGCCAUGCCGCGUGUAUGAAGAAGGCCUUCGGGUUGUAAAGUACUUUCAGCAGUGAGGAAGGCGGUACGUUAAUAGUACGUGCUCGUUUGAUCGUUUAGCUGCAGAAGAAGACACCGGCGUAACUCCGUGCCAGCAGCCGCGGUAAUACGGAGGGUGCGAGCGUUAAUCGGAAUUACUGGGCGUAAAGCGCAUGCAGGUGGUUUGUUAAGUCAGAUGUGAAAGCCCGGGGCUCAACCUCGGAA
rnacentral:rRNA from 1 species